UUCAAAUAGGACAAAGUAAUUUAGGAAAGAAAGGUGAGCGCAUAACGCAACUUUCUUCACUUGAGCGUCCAGUUCAAAAAUUAGUGGUGCUAGUGGAGCAGAAUUCAUAGACUAGUAUCCUAAAACAAUAAACAGGAAAUAUUAAACUUUCAGACUAAGCUGUUCAAAACCAAGUAUCAAAAAUUACUUGCUAAAUGUAUAGGAAAAUUACACGAUUUAUUCAGUUUAUUCAGAAUAUGGUUAACAUAAAUCUUUGUAAUUUUGGUGGCAGUGUAGCUGUCGCUGAAAGCAUGUAUGUGUCAUUUCUUUCUUUAAGCCUUUAAAGUAUUUAUUUGUUAUGUUAUUAUUACAAUAAUGCACUGUAAAUAUUAAUAGUAAUUUGCCUAUGUGAGUUUUGUUUUACAAGGGUUGCAGAAAUAGUGACACCUACAGGUUAAACUAGUGAGCUGCAUUUAAUUUAAGUUACUGUGGUCAUGUGAUUAGCCUAACUAAUAGCAGUGCAAAAUGUGCAUGCAGUUUGUUGGUGCUACGCUGUACACGGAGUUAGAUGCUAAAGAAGAGAAUAAUUAAACAGUAAAGCGUUACAGCAACUCCUAGAUUUCUGGUCGGAAGGCGCACACGUUUUUCACGGUGUUUGAUGGUGUUUGAUGGUGUUUGACGGUGAUUGAAUGCGCUUAAGUUGUGAAGGAAUGCAAUUAAAGAAACGACAAACAUCA